rnacentral:rRNA from 1 species
AUUGAACGCUGGCGGCAGGCCUAACACAUGCAAGUCGAACGAGUGGCGGACGGGUGAGUAAUGUCUGGGAAACUGCCCGAUGGAGGGGGAUAACUACUGGAAACGGUAGCUACUACCGCAUACCAUCAGAUGUGCCCAGAGGGGAUUAGCUUGUAGGUGGGGUAACGGCUCACCUAGGCGACGAUCCCUAGCUGGUCUGAGAGGAUGACCAGCCACACUGGAACUGAGACACGGUCCAGACUCCUACGGGAGGCAGCAGUGGGGAAUAUUGCACAAUGGGCGCAAGCCUAAUGCAGCCAGGCGGCGGGUAUGAAGAAGGCCUUCGGGUUGUAAAGUACUUUCAGCGAGGAGGCGUUACUCGCAGAAGAAGCACCGGCUAAAUCCGUGCCAGCAGCCGCGGUAAUAC